rnacentral:rRNA from 1 species
AACUUCAUCUAAGACUUAAUAUUGCCACGAGACCGAUAGCAAACAAGUACUGUGAAGGAAAGUUGCAAAGCACUUUGAAGAGAGAGUUAAAGAGGACGUGAAACCGGURAGGUGGAAACGGAUAGAGUCGGCGUAUCAUUCAAUUAUUCAGUUACAUUAUUUUUAUGUUGUGACCUCUGAGCUCCAGAUUGGGACAGAGGGAAUCAGCAUAAUUUUYUGUGGUGCAUUUACUUGAUUGGUGCUUGGGGAUGUUUGAGGCAGAUUUGUUUCCGUCGUUUUGAGGCCAGCUUGCUGGUACCCAAACGGUGUUAGCAUUUUUUGUCUUGGGCAUUUGAGUAUGGCUCACGUGUAUUUAUUGGACAGAUCUGAGUGUAAGUUACGGUCGCAUGCGACACGUGCUUUUCAAUUAGUUCGGUCCAGUUAAUGCUCUCGUACUCGUUCCCCAUGUAAAAGCCGGUCAUCUAUCCGACCCGUCUUGAAACACGGACCAAGGAGUUUAUCGUGUGCGCAAGUUUUUGGGUGUUAAAAACYUAAAAGCGAAAUGAAAGUAAAUGACUCUUUAGAGUCUGAUGUGCGAUCUUGUAAAAAAGUGYAGCAUGGCCCCAUUCUAACUGUUUACAGUAGGGUGGCGGAAGAGCGUACGCGGUGAGACCCGAAAGAUGGUGAACUAUUCCUGAGCAGGACGAAGCCAGAGGAAACUCUGGUGGAAGUCCGAAGCGG